UUUUCUGAUUUUCGAAUCGAGGAUUUCACGGCUAGAAUGCAAGAUAAAAGCAUACUGGCCCUCAAAUCUUCGCUUCGAACUUUGGAA
rfam:Caenorhabditis japonica strain DF5081 Contig18210.25, whole genome shotgun sequence.